rnacentral:rRNA from 1 species
UCUCCUGGAAAACGGGUGGUAAUGCCGGAUGCUCCAGCUGACCGCAUGGUUUGUUGGGAAAGCUUUCGCGGUAUGGGAUGGGGUCGCGUCCUAUCAGCUUGACGGCGGGGUAACGGCCCACCGUGGCUUCGACGGGUAGCCGGCCUGAGAGGGCGACCGGCCACAUUGGGACUGAGAUACGGCCCAGACUCCUACGGGAGGCAGCAGUGGGGAAUAUUGCACAAUGGGCGCAAGCCUGAUGCAGCGACGCCGCGUGAGGGAUGGAGGCCUUCGGGUUGUAAACCUCUUUUAUCGGGGAGCAAGCGAGAGUGAGUUUACCCGUUGAAUAAGCACCGGCUAACUACGUGCCAGCAGCCGCGGUAAUACGUAGGGUGCAAGCGUUAUCCGGAAUUAUUGGGCGUAAAGGGCUCGUAGGCGGUUCGUCGCGUCCGGUGUGAAAGUCCAUCGCUUAACGGUGGAUCCGCGCCGGGUACGGGCGGGCUUGAGUGCGGUAGGGGAGACUGGAAUUCCCGGUGUAACGGUGGAAUGUGUAGAUAUCGGAAAGAACACCA